rnacentral:lncRNA from 10 species
CUGGACUGCAGUGGCACGAUCUCAGCUCACUGCAACCUCUGCCUCUGGGGUUCAAGUGAUUCUCCUGCCUCAGUAUCCCAAGUAGCUGGGAUUAUAGGCACACACCACCACACUCGUUAAUUUUUGUAUUUUUAGUAGAGUUGGGGUUUCACCAUGUUGGCCAGACUGGUCUCGAACUUCCUGACUUCAGGUGAUCUGGCCACCUCACCCUCCCAAAGUGCUAGGAUUACAGGCAUGAGUCAU